CCUACGGGAGGCAGCAGUGGGGAAUAUUGCACAAUGGGGGAAACUCUGAUGCAGCGACGUCGCGUGAGUGAUGAAGUCAUUCGUUAUGUAAAGCUCUAUCAGCAGGGAAGAAAAAGAUGGUACCUGAGCCAGAAGUCCCGGCUAACUACGUGCCAGCAGCCGCGGUAAUACGUAGGGGGCAAGCUUUAUCCGGAUUAGCUGGGUGUAAGGGGAGCGUAGACGGUAUUUAAAGUCUGGUGUGAAAGGCGGGGGCUCAACCCCCGGAUUGCACUGGAAACUGGACGGCUGGAGUGCAGGUGAGGUAGGUGGAAUUCCUAGUGUAGCGGUGAAAUGCUUAGAUAUUAGGAAGAACACCAGUGGCGAAGGCAGCUUACUGGACUGUAACUGACGUUGAGGCUCGAAAGCGUGGGGAGCAAACAGGAUUAGAUACCCGUGUAGUC
rnacentral:rRNA from 1 species